UAGUCCACGCUGUAAACGAUGAUCACUAGAUGUUCGGCCUUCGGGUUGAGUGUCCCAGCGAAAGCGAUAAGUGAUCCACCUGGGGAGUACGUCGGCAACGAUGAAACUCAAAGGAAUUGACGGGGGCCCGCACAAGCGGUGGAGCAUGUGGUUUAAUUCGAUGAUACGCGAGGAACCUUACCUAGGCUACAAUGCCUUUGCCAUACUGUGAAAGCAGUAGUUCCUUCGGGACAAAGUGCAAGGUGCUGCAUGGUUGUCGUCAGCUCGUGUUGUGAGAUGUUGGGUUAAGUCCCGCAACGAGCGCAACCCUCGUCGUUAGUUACCAUCAUUAAGUUGGGCACUCUAACGAGACCGCUAGGCUAUAAGCCAGAGGAAGGUGGGGAUGACGUCAAGUCCUCAUGGCCUUUAUGUCCAGGGCUACACACGUGCUACAAUGGAAAGUACAAUACGUCGCUACUUCGCGAGGAGAUGCUAAUCGUAAAAAACUUUCUACAGUUCGGAUUGG
rnacentral:rRNA from 1 species